rnacentral:misc_RNA from 1 species
UUAAGUUCAGCGGGUAUCCCUACCUGAUUCGAGGAGUUCCAAUGUCUUUUUGCUUGCCAUCCCCGGCCCGGACGGACGGGGAAGGGCCGGCAGCCUCGCGGCGCGAGAAAAACUAGCGCGUCACAUCAUCCUCGGCCACCCUGCGGGCGUCUGCCAUUGGAUUCCAGCGCGGUGGCUGCCGCCUCGGGUACGCCACCGCU